rnacentral:rRNA from 1 species
GUCCACGCCCUAAACGAUGUCAACUGGUUGUUGGGGGAGUGAAAUCCCUUAGUAACGAAGCUAACGCGUGAAGUUGACCGCCUGGGGAGUACGGUCGCAAGAUUAAAACUCAAAGGAAUUGACGGGGACCCGCACAAGCGGUGGAUGAUGUGGAUUAAUUCGAUGCAACGCGAAAAACCUUACCUACCCUUGACAUGUCCGGAAUCCUGCAGAGAUGUGGGAGUGCCCGAAAGGGAAUCGGAACACAGGUGCUGCAUGGCUGUCGU